rnacentral:rRNA from 1 species
CCCGUUCNNUACACAUGCAGUCGAGCGAUGAGGCCCAGUCUUGCUGGACGAAUUAGUGACGAACGGGUGAGUAACACGCGAGCUGCCUGCCCCUGACUCUGGGAUAAGCGUUGGAAACGACAACUAAUACUGGAUAUGACCGCCGAUCGCAUGGUCUGGUGGUGGAAAGAUUUUUUGGUUGGGGCUGCACCACUAUCCUUGAGUUGGUGGGUCACGGCCCACCAAGCCAAUUUUUGAUAGCCGGCCUUAGAUAGCGACCGGCCACACUGAGAGUGAUACCCGAUCUGCACUCAUGGGGCGCCUAGGGGGUGGUGAGUUGCGCAAUGGCUCAAAGCCCGAUGACGCGUUUAGGGACGGCGAAGCCCUUUUUUGUCCUGUGACCUCGUUUAACAAUGACGCAUGCUAUGCUGUCUCUGGUUGUGUUUGCUAGGGUUGUGGGAGUCAUACGAAGACUUUCCCUCAGAAGGAACAUAAAUUAUCCGGUUGUUAACUCUGUCUAUAAUUAUUUUGCGUCAAAACUCCCAUAAUUUUGUGGUCUGGUCUGCUUUUUUAAAACCUGCGAUUAUUUCCGUGUCUGCAGGCUGCUCUGGCAUUUUAUAGUUAGUUUUUUAUAUACUGCUAUUUCCUGCCUGUUCCGGUGAUAUUGCGCGUCAUACAAUCAGUAACACCGGGGGGCGAUGGCAGAACUCGUUGCCCUCUACCUGACGCUGAGAAGCAUAGAGUGGGCAUAUGCGAACGGGUAUAUAAUAUCCCUUGUUAGUCUAUUUUCGUAAAAGAAGGUAUGCUAGGGUGGGGGUGACUUUACCCCUGUUUUCCGAUCGCCGAGUAUUAGACAGAAUAACCACUCCGCGGCCUGGGGUAGAACUGCCCGCAAGAAGAAAAACUUCAAAGAGAAUUGACGGGGGGCGCGCACAAGCGGGCGGAAGCUUUGUUCUCUUAAUUUUGG